UACGUAGGGUGCAGGCGUUAAUCGGAAUUACUGGGCGUAAAGGGCUCGUAGGUGGCCAACUAAGUCGGACGUGAAAUCCCUCAGCUUAACUGGGGAACUGCAUCCGAUACUGGAUGGCUUGAGUUUGGGAGAGGGAUGCGGAAUUCCAGGUGUAGCGGUGAAAUGCGUAGAUAUCUGGAGGAACACCGGUGGCGAAGGCGGCAUCCUGGACCAACACUGACACUGAGGAGCGAAAGCCAGGGGAGCAAACGGG
rnacentral:rRNA from 1 species